rnacentral:rRNA from 1 species
UACGGAGGGUGCAAGCGUUGUUCGGAAUUAUUGGGCGUAAAGCGCGUGUAGGCGGUUUGUUAAGUCUGGUGUGAAAGCCCUGGGCUCAACCUGGGAAGUGCAUUGGAUACUGGCAAACUUGAGUACGGGAGAGGAUAGUGGAAUUUCGAGUGUAGGGGUGAAAUCCGUAGAUAUUCGAAGGAACACCGGUGGCGAAGGCGGCUAUCUGGACCGAUACUGACGCUGAGACGCGAAAGCGUGGGGAGCAACAGGG